AACGUAGGAAGCGAGCGUUAUCCGGAUUUACUGGGCGUAAAGGGCAGGCAGGCGGUCGGUUAAGUCCUACUUGAAAGCCCCGGGCUCAACCUGGGAAUGGCGAUGGAUACUGGCUCGCUAGAGUGCGGUAGAGGAGAGUGGAAUUCCCGGUGUAGCAGUGAAAUGCGUAGAGAUCGGGAGGAACAUCAGUUGCGAAGGCGGCUCUCUGGACCAGCACUGACACUGAGGCACGAAAGCGUGGGGAGCAAACAGG
rnacentral:rRNA from 1 species